rnacentral:rRNA from 1 species
ACUCAAAUGAAUAGACGGGGGCCCGCACAAGCGGCGGAGCAUGUGGAUUAAUUCGAUGCAACGCGAAGAACCUUACCUGGGUUUGACAUGCACUGGACCGGCGUAGAGAUACGCCUUCCCUUGUGGCUGGUGCACAGGUGGUGCAUGGCUGUCGUCAGCUCGUGUCGUGAGAUGUUGGGUUAAGUCCCGCAACGAGCGCAACCCUUGUCCCAUGUUGCCAGCGGGUAAUGCCGGGGACUCGUGGGAGACUGCCGGGGUCAACUCGGAGGAAGGUGGGGACGACGUCAAGUCAUCAUGCCCCUUAUGCCCAGGGCUUCACACAUGCUACAAUGGCCAGUACAGAGGGUUGCGAGACCGUGAGGUGGAGCGAAUCCCUUAAAGCUGGUCUCAGUUCGGAUCGUAGUCUGCAACUCGACUACGUGAAGUCGGAGUCGCUAGUAAUCGCAGAUCAGCAACGCUGCGGUGAAUACGUUCCCGGGCCUUGUACACACCGCCCGU